rnacentral:rRNA from 1 species
UACGUAGGGGGCGAGCGUUAAUCGGAAUUACUGGGCGUAAAGUGUGCGCAGGCGGCCGAGCAAGUCGAGUGUGAAAGCCCCGAGCUUAACUUGGGAACUGCGCUCGAAACUACUUGGCUAGAGUGUGGCAGAGGGAGGUGGAAUUCCACGUGUAGCGGUGAAAUGCGUAGAGAUGUGGAGGAACACCGAUGGCGAAGGCAGCCCCCUGGGUUAACACUGACGCUCAUGCACGAAAGCGUGGGGAGCAAACAGG